UCAGUGUGUGUGUGUGUGUGUGUGUUAGGGUGUAACGACGUGGGUGUCAAUAAACAACAUUUAAUACGCUGUUUACUACUGUUAAGUUGCCUUGAGGUGAAAAUGCAAUAAGUUGCAAAGCAGUUAGAAAGUAGUUUGUAAGAGUUUCUGCAAAAAAAAUUUCAAUGUAGUAGACAAGCGCUCAUCGUUCUAGGGACCGGCGAAAAGUGUUGCAUGAGCAAAUCCAAGUUUUAAUAGAAUAGAAAAUCCAGCUUACAUUCAAAAAAACCACAAGUUAGUGAUAGUGAGGAAAUCUGGUAAAUAAAACGAUCAAAGUGAAAUUGUUUGUCGAUUUAUUUUCCAGGAUGCACCACCUUCUGGUUAUCACUUGUUCAGCAAUUAGCAAAAGCUGAAAAUGGGCGAAAAUGGUUUGAUCGCUACUUUGCACCGAAGGUACGAAAUUUUUAUCGCAGCUGUUAUAGUGAAAAUUCAGAAUCACUUUUUAAAUUAAUUCUUUGACCGCAGCUAGAGUGAGCGCCCAGUCGGUAAAGGCAUAACACUUAUCCAUUGGUGACUGCCGUCAAUUUCUUCCUAUUUCUUUCUAUUUCUUCUCGCCUUUCUGACAGGCACCGUGUUGCACGAAGAGAAAGCAUUCCCUUAAUGAUUGCUCGUAUUAAAAAUAUAUAUAUAUAUAUAUAUAUAUAUCGAUCUAAGCUUGUCUGUCUGUCUGUUCACCUUGGUUUCUUGUAUUCAACUCAGAUGCCUCAAAUUUUGAGAUGUUUAGUAUCUUGACAUGUUUUGGUUCAAAGACGAACGUUAUUGAAAGUGAUUCGGAUCGGCCCACUUCUUUGACCACACCCUACAUAAUUCCUUAAUUUUAAAUGUUGCUAAAUGAAUAUCUGUAUUAAGCGCACUGGUGUAGGGUAUGGAUAAUGGCGCGUCCUAUUCCACUAUAAUUUUUUUUUAGUUUUAUGUGUUUGUGGUAAUGCCUUUGCCAUCUAUAAAAAGUUUCAUGUCAAUAUAAUUCUCAAUAGCAACAUAGAAAGCUGAGCUUCUCGAUUUUCGCUGUCUCUGAUUUCGUCGAACAAAAGAUUUGCAUUAAAUUUUCUAUAUAGAAUGAAUAUUUCAUAAAAACGUUACAGACGGGUUGCGGGACUGAGGCUAGGUCGCAAAAAAAUGAUUACAACUGUUAUCGAAAUUUCAAAGAAAUCUGAUCUUAGGGCGAACAGCACCUUGGACAACCAAUAACAGCUACAGAUGAUAAUCACAUCAAGACAACCAAAGAUUUGAUUUUAGGAUAUCGUCGACCGAUACUUAGGGAUAUUUUGAAGGGGCGAGAAUUUCACGCGAAUCAAUUCAAACGACCUUAGAAGACUAUUUGAGCCUCAAACUGGUCAAAUUUAGAUUGAUUUCAAAAAGAUCUACUGAUCGUUCAGGCAUCAGCGUCACCACUUGAUUUAGCACUCGGCGACUUCUGUCUGUUGAAGAAAUUUAAAAGACCGCAUCGGGGUUAGACCGUAGACAGUUUCGACUUGAUUGCGAAAAUAAAAGCGAGAUAGAAGGUCGUCUCGUAAAAGGAUUUCUCCGACUGUUUUCAGAAUUGGCAUAAGUGCGCUGCAUCAGAUAUCAAUGAAUCGUUCCCGCCUCCAUACUCUAUGUGAAUGAAAAGAAAACAAAUUCGUGGACACAUCCUCCUGUCAUUCUGAAAUAUCGUGUUUCGCGAAAGUUAAGCGAUUGUUCAAUGAUUAAAAACAUAUUGAAUUUUUGAAGAACGUAAGCGUCAGCUUUCUAUAUCAAUUUUUGUAAGUUUGAAGGACUCUCCCGGACA